CGAUCAAGAGGUUCUAAUAGCUUGGAUUUGCUUAGAUCUUUAGUAUAGAUUUUGGUAUUCUCUGUAUUAGUAGUUGUUUUCGUAUUAAAGGGUAAUUUUAGGUGGUUAAGAGAUGAUUUCACUCAGAGUUGUGGAGUGUUAUCUAUCUCAUUGUGGUUAAAAACAUGCAAUGGUUUUUCGAUCAGGUAGCGUUGGAUCCGCUAGUGAUUCAGGGUUUUACUAGAUCAUCCCAUUGCGUUUGGUCCAAUUCUAUAGAGGUGAAUGUAAUGUACCUUGAAUUUGGAUGUAAUCCUUUGGUUAAUGAAUAGUUGAAGUUGAGACAAAAAAAAACUCUACACGUGCUGUAUUUGUUCCAUUUCUUCUCCUAUUGUAUACACGUGAAGUGGCUUAUCACUCAGCUCUUAUAAAUCCAAAGGACUAUGAGUUGUGAAGAAGUUAAUUAACUUAUCUAUCUUUGAGGGAAUAUUGUGAGUUAAUUAUAAUUCCAAGUACUUGAUUUGAGUUUAGUCUUAUGUGAGCUAAAUGAAUGUAAUCUUGUAACCUUUAUAUAUCUACCAAAAUCUUGUAACCUUUAUAUACAGUAAAACCUCUAUAAAUUAAUACUCGAUAAAUUAAUAACUUCUAUAAAUUAAUAAAUUUAUCCGGUCCCAAGUUGGGACCAGUGUAAUUUUAGACAUAUUUCGAUAAAAUAAUAAGAUAAUAAUUUUUUUGAAAAUCCUUUGUAAAUAUAUGGUCCCAUCAAAAUUAUAAAUUAAUAAUUAGGUAAAAUUUUCAAAAUAUAUGUAUAUAUAAACACAUUAGUUUUUGUUAGAUUUUAUUUCUAAUAUUUUACUAUAUGAAAAAUAGUUAGCAUUCUAUUUUAAUACAUAAUUAUUAUUAUUUUAUUUGUAAUUGAAUAUAUAAAAUACUAAUUAUCAUGAUUAAAUCUUAUUUUUAAAUAUUGUUUGAAAAUAUUUUCCAAAUUAGAAAUAUCUCUCUAUAAAUUAAUAAUUAUUAAUUUAUCGAUAAAUUAAUACCUCUAUAAAUUAAUAGAUUUUCAUGGUCCCAACAUUAUUAAUUUAUAGAGGUUUUACUGUAUCUACCAAAUUUUUCGGGCCGGGCCGGGCCGGGCUCUGCAUGUUUUUCUAACCAAGAGUGGUUUUGAAUGUUUGUUAAUGAUGUUCUUGGUUACAUGUUCUUUUGUUCGUUUUGAAUCUUUGAGCAGUGAGAGAUGUUAGAGUGGUUUUUUUCACUGAGGAGUUUGAUGCACAAAUACUGAGAGCAGAGGAUCCAAGAAGAUUCAUGUAAAGAUCUCAAGAUGGUAAUAGUAAUCCUUGGAUCUGAGCAAAUGGGAUCGAAGUUGGAAGAUCCCUUAAACUCUUGACAUAAUCUUGUAAAUCUUCACUCUAUGGAAUAUCACUUUUGUUCUUAGUCCUCCUAUCUAUUAGCUAGACUCCUAGUGCUAUGUUUUGAUAGGUAACAAAAUGCAAAUUAUUUAGUUCUAUUAAAACCAUAUAACGCAAUUUGCAAGAAUUAUUGCUUCACAUCCGCAUUAAAAUGUUUUUGUAACUUUAUAGCUAAUGGUUAGUUACUUAGUUUGUGUAUUAUACAAAAAUGAUCAAAAAGUAUUAAUUGGAAACCGAUGAUAUCAAAGAUAGUGACUGGCCUGCGAAACCAACAGAACUAAUUACUACAUACUUUGUAUAUAAACUCGUUUAGAUCAUAUAAGAGAAAAUAACAUUUUUUUUUAAUUGGUAAACUCCUGCUUGAUCUGGUAAUUUAGUAUAAUUUGUCUACUUAAUUCAUUUUUGUCCGUUUAAUUAUUUCUUUCUUAUCUUAAAAGAAAUUGACCUUUCAACCAAAAUUUAAAAGUUUUGGAUACCCCAUCACGGAUUCUGCUACGCUUGGUAAAAUUUUUGUUUUUUUCUAUAUAUUAGUAGAAUAUUAUUCAUGGUAAAAUGAAAAUUUUUGAUACUUCUUACAGCGACUAACGCUAACGGAUUUAUGGCGCUAGACAUUUGGUUCCAAAACACGGCUGGACCGACUAAGAAACAAGCAGUUGCUCUCCGCGUAAAUGCUGAUCAAUCUGUCUUUUAUCGCUGUCGAAUAGAUGGCUACCAGGACACGCUUUUCGCUCAGCUGAAUCGACAGUUCUAUCGUGAUUGUUACAUCACGGGAACCAUUGACUUUAUAUUUGGGGAUGCUGCCGCAAUAUUCCAAAAUUGUGAGAUUGUGGCACGAAAGCCUCUAAACGGACAGAGCAAUGUGCUGACGGCUCAAGGACGCAUUGAUCCGACCAGAAAUUCUGGCUUCUCGCUUCAAAGGUGUAAUAUAACAGCGAGCUCCGAUCUAGCUCCGGUCAAAGGAACAGUAAAAUCAUUCUUAGGACGUCCGUGGAAAAAGUUUUCUAGAGUGGUAAUAAUGCAGUCAUUCAUAGAUGAUUUUAUUGAUCCGGGUGGGUGGAUUCCUAUGAACAACGAUGUUGGACGUUUAUCGACGUUGUUCUUUGGUGAAUACGAGAACAAGGGUCCUGGGGCAGACACUAGAAGAAGGGUUAAAUGGCAAGGACACAAAUUGAUGACUGAUUCGAAGGAGGCAUCAAAAUUCACAGUGACUAGUCUUAUUAAUGGUGAGUUGUGGCUUAAUUCUACCAUUGUGCCUUAUGAGGAAGGACUCUAAAUACUUGUGUUUAUGUUAUAUGUGUUAGUAAAUAAAUGUUAUUAAUUUGUGUGAUAAAAACUGGUAAAAAAUAGAUUUUGUAUUUUCUGUUAUUCACAAACCUAAAAAUGAGAGUUUCUAUAUGAAAGAAAUCUAUAUAUAGUGUACUUUUAAAAACUACUAGCAUAUCAAAAUUACCAAUGAAAGGGAAAAUAUUCUAACGCCUUUUCUUUAACAUAUCAAAUUGAUUGAGGAAAGCUGUCGUCAUCAUACAAUUACUACAUAGUAUUUAGCUUUUAAUCCCACUUUUACUAGAACAUCGGCACCCUUAAAACUAUUCUACAAGGCCGGUCUCGAAAUUUUUUGUGGCCGAAAACAUAUUUAAACUGACAUCUUCUAAACAAAAAAAACUAAUGUUAAAAUUUGUUAGCAAAUACUAAAAUGUAUAAAAACCAAAAUUAAUAAUUCAAUGGAAAAAAAAAAUUCUCUCCCACUUCACCAAAC
rnacentral:lncRNA from 1 species